rnacentral:rRNA from 1 species
GUGGGGAAUAUUGGUCAAUGGGGGAAACCCUGAACCAGCAAUGCCGCGUGAAGGAAGAAGGCUUUCGGGUUGUAAACUUCUUUGACAGGGGACGAAAAAAAUGACGGUACCCUGAAAACAAGCCACGGCUAACUACGUGCCAGCAGCCGCGGUAAUACGUAGGUGGCAAGCGUUGUCCGGAUUUACUGGGUGUAAAGGGCGCGUAGGCGGGUAUGCAAGUCAGAUGUGAAAAUUAUGGGCUUAACCCAUAACCUGCAUUUGAAACUGCAUAUCUUGAGUGAUGGAGAGGUAAGUGGAAUUCCUAGUGUAGCGGUGGAAUGCGUAGAUAUUAGGAGGAACACCAGUGGCGAAGGCGACUUACUGGACAUUAACUGACGCUGAGGCGCGAAAGCGUGGGGAGCAAACAGGAUUAGAAACCCGAGUAGUCC